GGCUUCCCAGAGUGUUGGGAUUACAGGCAUGAGCCACCACGCCCAGCCUAGGAGGGAUUGUCAUUUCAGCUAUUCAGUCCCUGCCGCCCACUCUGCACCAGGCCCAAGGAGGAGCUGGGGACAGAGGUGAAUAUGGCACACUCUCUGUUCCCAAGGAGCCAAGUCAGCCAGGGGAGACGGAAAAGGACAGCCUUGUGUGACCAGUGCUGGGACCCCAGCCACGCACAGGGGCUGCAGAAAUCCAUAGGAGAGCAUUUUCUCCCGACCUGGAGGAGGUGACACCCUGAUUCUCGCCUGAUUCUCUUUAACCACAGCUAAUGCUUUGAGAUGGAUUACAUCCCACUUUGCAGAAGAGGAAACAGAUGCGGAGAGGUAACAGCAAUGCCUAGUGAGGGCCAGGGAGGGGAUUUGAACCCAGGGCUUCCAACUCCAUCAUUCCCAGAAAGCACUUUGGGAAAUGACUGUUUCUUCUGUCCAGGGAGCCUCUUGUCACACUCAGCCAACUCAUGUCAGGCACCAGAGCCAAUGUCAGGCCUCCUGCUCAGGCCCCAGUCAACCCCGUCUGCUGGGAGAUUUUCUCCCGCAGAGGUCACAAGUUCACAGGACCCAAGCCCAAAGCGGGAGGCACAGACAGCAGCCCUGGGGUUCUCCCAGUAGUCGGAAACGGGCUGGCUGCCUCUGGGCUCACACUGGGAUCAUCAGAGCAGCAGCUCAGGCUCGGAUGGCCAGAAUUAGGGUGGGUUGGGGUCAUGGAGGGAAGAAGGCCCCGGAGAUCUGAUGGCUCCUAGCCUGAGGCUCUCUGUGUUUGGGCAUGAACCUAUGAUACAGUUUGUCAGUGUCUCCACCCAAAUCCCAUCUUGAAUUGUAGCUCCCAUAACCCAGCGAGAGGUAACUGAAUCACGGGGGUGGGUCUUUCCCCUGCUGUUCUCAUGAGAGUGAAUAAGUCUCAUGAGAUCUGAUGCUUUUAUAAAGGGGAGUUCCCAUGCACACACUCUCUCGUGCCCGCCACCAUGUAAGAUGUGACUUUGCUCCUCCUUGGCCUCCCAAACUGCUGGGAUUACAGGCGUGAGCCACUGCGCCUGGCCAGCUACAUGGUUUCUUUUUGGAGCGAUGGAAAUGUGUAAGAUUAGUUUGGGGUGAUGGUUGCAAAAUGACAUAGAUUUACUAAAACUCAUAGGAUUGAACACUUCAGAUGAGGGAAUUUUAUGGUAUGUAAAGUAUGUCUCACUAAAGCUGUUGAAAUGAAGGCAGCCUCCCAGGGCCCAGAGAGGUAUCUAAAGACUCUGGUUAUGCCAGCCGCGGUGCCUCACACCCGUAAUCCCAGCAUUUUGGAAGGCCAAGAUGGGAGGAUUGCUUGACUCGAAGAGUUCAAGACCGCCCUGGGCAACAUAGCAAGACCCUGUUUCUUUAUAGUUUAAAAAAAGACAAAAAAAUAAGGACCCCGGUUUGAAAUGCAUUAAAAAUUAGAAAUAGAAAAAAAAUUAAAAAUAAAGACUCCCAUGCUGGGAUUACAGGCAAGCCUGGGUCUUUCUGGAGAUCCUGGGAGGGAGGAGGAGAGGGAGGACCUUGGGCCACAGGUAGGACACACCGCCUAAUGCAUCUAUCCAGGGCCAAGGCGGGGUCAGGAUGAGAGGGACAGGCCUCCAAACAAAUCAGAGUUACCCUUGGCUCUGAAUCUAAGUCCAGAGGGACUUGGCGGAGAAUGGGGAGGACCUCUCAGACAGACCCUCACUGUCCCUCUAAGUAGCUGCCUCCCCACCCAACCCCCAGGCCCAUCUUACCAAACCAGAGCCCACCAGGCUACUCUGCUUCUGUUCAUAUAAAAGCUUCAGUGGCUUUCCAGUGCUCGGCACUGGGAAAGAGGCCCAGCCCUGCCUCCCUCCCCAAGACCAAAGCUGGGACACUCCUUCACUCCCAUCCUUGCUCCAGCCAUAGGGAGCUGGCCCUGAGCCCCGUCAUGAUGCCUCCUAGGUCUGCCACGUUCUGUUCCCCCACUGCCCUUUCUCCUCUGCCCAGAAAAUUCUAUCCAACCUUCAAAACUCAACUCCAACACUGCAGCAGUCACCCUUGAGAGCCUUAGGGACCAAGCCUUUAUCAUCUUUCUAUUUUUGGCACUGAAAACAGUACCUGGGCAGAAGGUAUCGCCCGAACGUGUCUUCUGAACGGCUGGGCCACGGGGUUUGCCUUGAACUAAAACCUUACAAAGGGGGUCGGUCCAACCUCCCAACUCUCCAGUCUGGGGGAAUUCAGAGAUUCUACAGUGGAGACUGGGCAGGAACUAUAACAACGUGAAUGGCAGAGGGAUAGACUGGAAGAGAGUCCAGAAAGAGACCUGAGCCUCCAUGAGAACUCAGUCUGCAGUAAAGGAAGCAUAUCAAAGUGGGCGGCAAAGGACUUGUCAUUCAAAAUGGCCAGUGAUUUGGAAAAUGAGCAGAGUUCGAUGCCUACUUCACCUGGAAACAAAAGCCAAUGGUUAAAUGUUUCAAUGCAAAGACACAGAAAAGCAAAAAGAAAAAGUACACAGCACCGGAGACAAGAAACCAUGAAGCUCCCUUAUGGUAAAAUGGGCCACAUACGAAUCUUACAUUCCUGUUCUUUUUAAGGCUGUGUUCAAAAAUGAAAGGCAAA
rnacentral:lncRNA from 10 species